UACGAAGGGGGCUAGCGUUGCUCGGAAUGACUGGGCGUAAAGGGCGCGUAGGCGGGCUGCCGCGUCCGGGGUGAAAGCCCCCCGCUCAACGGGGGAACGGCCUCGGAUACGGGCGAUCUCGAGGGGGGUAGGGGCACCUGGAACUGUGGGUGGAGCGGUGAAAUGCGUUGAUAUCCACAGGAACUCCGGUGGCGAAGGCGAGGUGCUGGACCCCAUCUGACGCUGAGGCGCGAAAGCCAGGGGAGCGAACGGG
rnacentral:rRNA from 1 species